AUGCAAGUCGAGCGGGGGAAGGUAGCUUGCUACUGGACCUAGCGGCGGACGGGUGAGUAAUGCUUAGGAAUCUGCCUAUUAGUGGGGGACAACAUCUCGAAAGGGAUGCUAAUACCGCAUACGUCCUACGGGAGAAAGCAGGGGAUCUUCGGACCUUGCGCUAAUAGAUGAGCCUAAGUCGGAUUAGCUAGUUGGUGGGGUAAAGGCCUACCAAGGCGACGAUCUGUAGCGGGUCUGAGAGGAUGAUCCGCCACACUGGGACUGAGACACGGCCCAGACUCCUACGGGAGGCAGCAGUGGGGAAUAUUGGACAAUGGGGGGAACCCUGAUCCAGCCAUGCCGCGUGUGUGAAGA
rnacentral:rRNA from 1 species